AUCCGGGUUGCGGACAGUGUCUGGUGGGUAGUUUGACUGGGGCGGUCUCCUCCCAAAGAGUAACGGAGGAGCACGAAGGUUAGCUAAUCCUGGUCGGACAUCAGGAGGUUAGUGCAAUGGCAUAAGCUAGCUUGACUGCGAGAGUGACGGCUCGAGCAGGUGCGAAAGCAGGUCAUAGUGAUCCGGUGGUUCUGAAUGGAAGGGCCAUCGCUCAACGGAUAAAAGGUACUCCGGGGAUAACAGGCUGAUACCGCCCAAGAGUUCAUAUCGACGGCGGUGUUUGGCACCUCGAUGUCGGCUCAUCACAUCCUGGGGCUGAAGUAGGUCCCAAGGGUAUGGCUGUUCGCCAUUUAAAGUGGUACGCGAGCUGGGUUUAGAACGUCGUGAGACAGUUCGGUCCCUAUCUGCCGUGGGCGCUGGAGAAUUGAGGGGGGCUGCUCCUAGUACGAGAGGACCGGAGUGGACGCAUCACUGGUGUUCGGGUUGUCAUGCCAAUGGCACUGCCCGGUAGCUAAAUGCGGAAGAGAUAAGUGCUGAAAGCAUCUAAGCACGAAACUUGCCCCGAGAUGAGUUCUCCCUGAGACU
rnacentral:rRNA from 2 species